rnacentral:rRNA from 1 species
AUACGGAGGGUGCAAGCGUUAAUCGGAAUUACUGGGCGUAAAGCGCGCGUAGGCGGUUUGGUCAGUCGGAUGUGAAAGCCCUAGGCUCAACCUGGGAAUGGCAUUCGAUACUGCCUGACUAGAGUAUGCUAGAGGGAAGUGGAAUUUCCGGUGUAGCGGUGAAAUGCGUAGAUAUCGGAAGGAACACCAGUGGCGAAGGCGACUUCCUGGGCCAAUACUGACGCUGAGGUGCGAAAGCGUGGGGAGCAAACAGCAUUAGAAACCCCGGUAGUCC